UAAUUGAAUGAUAUACUAAUAUCACUUAUCCGGUUUAGAGGUUAUAAUAAAAACCAUUUCAGUAUUUAAGACAUUGCAUUUUCACAAAAUAGUCAAAUAAAUGAAAAUGUAUUACUUUAUAUAUUUAAAUUGAUUGUCAAAUACAAAAUAAACAGAUGAACUCACACCGUUAGGCUCACAUAGGCUUUUUUUUUAUUUGUGUGAUGCUUUCUAAGAAUUGCCACCAUGCCAUUAUCAUAUUCUCUCUUCACCUUGUUUGAUCUUUAGCUAUCUUUCACAGUUCUUACACUACCAAUCUACCAAGAUCCAGUUAUCUUUGUCUCCAGGCCUUGAGAUCUAUCCAAUUUAUGACUGAUUAAUUUAUAUCGUUAAUCGCACUACAAUGUAUUACGGGUCCCAGCCAUUAAAUUAACUGUAUUCUUACAAAGCUCAUGAUUUAUACAAUUCAAUUUCUUUCUACAUAUUCAUUUCACGGUGCUAAUCAUUAAUUAGUCCACAUAAUUAUUCGCCAUAUUUUAUAUUUAAAAGUCUUAUUUCUUCUGUCACCGGUACUAGUAAGAUUUUCCAUACUUUUCAGUUUUAAGUAAGUGUGAGCCUUA